CAUCGGUAUUAGCUGUCAAAACUUCAAAAAAUAAUCUGUCAUUUUGUUUCUGUUUUCACGGUUCUCCGUUUUAAAAAUAAAUCUGUUUUAAUCCCGUGUGUGUGAAGUGAUAAUUUUGUAAAAAAUGGCCCUGUUCCCUGGAGCGGUGGCCUUCGACGAGUAUGGCCGUCCAUUUAUAAUCCUAAAAGAUCAGGAUAGACAAAAAAGGCUUACCGGCAUAGAUGCUUUGAAGUCACACAUAUCAGCAGCUCGUCAAAUUGCCAGCACCCUGCGUACAUCGCUCGGUCCUCGUGGCCUGGAUAAGUUGAUGGUGUCAUCUGAUGGUGAGGUGACAGUCACUAAUGAUGGUGCCACCAUCCUUGACUUAAUGGAUGUAGAGCAUCAGAUUGGAAAACUACUUGUUCAGUUGGCUAAGAGUCAGGACAAUGAGAUUGGUGAUGGAACUACUGGAGUUGUUGUGCUUGCUGGUGCAUUGCUGGAACAUGCGUCAAACCUAUUGGACAAAGGUAUCCACCCAAUCCGAAUUGCGGACGGGUUCGAAAUGGCCGCGGCCACAGCUCUCGCCCACCUCGACAGCAUUAGUGAGGCAUUCCCUGUAAACAAAAGCAGCCGGGAGAAUCUGAUCAAGGUUGCCAUGACAACACUCGGCAGCAAAGUUGUUGUCAAGUGUCACCGAUUGAUGGCAGAAAUGGCUGUUGAUGCGGUAUUAGCUGUGGCCGAUUUGGAAGCCCGCGAUGUCAACUUUGAACUGAUCAAGGUUGAGGGCAAAGUUGGUGGUCGCAUGGAGGACUCGAAGCUCGUGCGCGGUGUCGUCAUUGAUAAGACCAUGAGCCAUCCCCAGAUGCCUAAAGUGCUGAAGGAUGUAAAACUAGCUAUCCUGGCCUGUCCAUUCGAGCCGCCGAAGCCAAAGACUAAGAACAAGCUACUUGUAGGCUCAGUGGAGGAUUACCAUGAACUCAGAAAGUAUGAACAGGACAAGUUCUUGGAGAUUGUUCGUAUGGUGAAGAACGCAGGAGCAACACUCGCUAUUUGCCAAUGGGGCUUCGAUGACGAGGCGAACCACCUCCUGCUGGCCGAGGGUCUACCGGCCGUUCGGUGGGUGGGCGGCCCCGAGAUGGAGCUCAUAGCUAUUGCCACGGGAGGCAGGAUCGUGCCCAGGUUCGAGGAGCUCACGCCAGACAAGCUUGGCACGUGCGGUCUUGUCAGGGAACUCACAUUCGGCACAUCGAAGGAAGAGAUGUUAGUAAUCGAGGAGUGCUCCAACUCUCGCGCCGUGACCUUGCUCAUGCGUGGAGGCAACCGCAUGAUCGUGGCGGAAGCCAAACGUUCCGUGCACGACGCGCUGUGUAUCGUGCGCAGUCUCGUACAGGACUCGCGCGUGGUGUACGGUGGCGGCGCGGCGGAGGUGUCUUGCUCGCUGGCGGUAGCGCGCGCGGCCGACAAGCUGUCGUCGCUGGACCAAUACGCCUACAGGGCCUUCGCCGACGCGCUCGAAGCCAUACCGCUCGCGCUCGCUGAGAAUAGUGGUCUAUCACCAAUCGACUCAUUAUCAGAGAUUAAGGCGCGGCAAGUGGCCGAGAACAAUCCUAACUUGGGUAUUGACUGCAUGGGCAACGACUCAAAUGACAUGAAAGUGCUGAAUGUGAUCGAGUCGCUGCACUCUAAGAAGCAACAGAUCGCGCUCGCCACGCAGCUCGUUAAGAUGAUCCUCAAGAUCGACGACGUGCGCUCGCCCGCCGACUCCAUCGAAUAACAUUACUUACUUCUCUACUCACAUUACUUAACGUUGAGAUGACAAUGUGCCGCGCUUUCAACAGUAUAGGCUUUAGUCCAGAAACCCAGUGAUGCGCGGUGAUUAAAGGCGUUUAUAUAAAAUGCAUUUUGGUGAGGCCGAGUCGCGUCACGUGCGUGAACGAGUGUACUAAAUGUGAUGAAUGCCUUAUUGCACUAAUAAAUUAAUAUGCUAAUUUAA
rnacentral:misc_RNA from 1 species